AUGACACACUGGAAUACUGCUCCACGGUGUGGGAUCCUCACACACACAGAAACAUUGAUCGGUUAGAACAAAUCAACACCAAGGCGGCUAGGUUCAUUACAAACAAUUACACUCGAACACCUGGAAUCACAACACGGAUCAAACAACAGAUAAACAUGGAACCUCUUCACAUACGCAGACAAGCACACAGACUUACACCUAUGUACAAGAUCACAAACACUCACAUUGACAUUGACCCACAAACAUACCUACAUAAGACAAACAGUCAACGUACUCGUAACACACACAUCCAUAAAUACCAAACAUAUCACACUAACACUGACGCAUACAAGCACUCAUACUUUCCACACACCAUACAUGACUGGAACAGCCUCCCUCAACAGAUUUUAGAUUGAGGUACAGUAGACUCAUUCAGAAAACAAAUACAUACUCUCUUGUCACCACAACACACCAACACUAACAACUACACUGGAUUCACUUCCCUCCCUGCACACUCGGCUCCCCUGUCCCCCCAACAGCCAACACAAAUAUGCGUGUUAUGCACCUAUACAGGUGCCCUGCGCAUUAUUGUCCAGAUCUAGAUCCAGAUAUUUGUUGCACUUCAAAAAGCUGGUGACACCUUACUAGAUCAUUUACAAAGAUAUCAAUCUUCUUAAUAGAUUUUCAGUGACAAAUGAGGGGCAGCAGUACUCUGCAGUGUGGCCUGUCCUGUGCACAAAUUCAGAUGGAGACGUGAUUGAGGUGCACUACAACAACCGCACCAUGAAGCCCCUCCAAGCUCCCACCCAUGUGGUGAUACCCUUCUACCAUGCUUACAAGCUCUUCUCAGACAAGCUUCGUGACCUUUCAAGCAGUCUAGAGUUCAGCAUGGUACCAGGUGACCUAGUGGCUUUCAACAAUCGCAGGGUCCUUCAUGGUCGUACUGCCUUUAAUCCUACCAAAGUGGAUAGACACCUUGUUGGCUGCUAUGUUGACAUGGAUGAAGCCCUCUCCAAAUAUGAUUUGCUCCAGGCCAAAUUUCACACAAAAUGAUGAGAUGUGAUACCUGUCAAGGUUGUGGCAGCGAUUUAGACUAAUAUCACCAUGAACAGUGAAGAGAAGGUAUUCAUUUUAUUUACUAAGGCUAAAAAUACAUGCAAUAUUAAAAUACUGUAUAUUCUGAUAUUUAAGUUGAUAUUGCCUAUGUCAGCAACACUUUUUUCACUUACAUAAAACAUUCUUGAGAUACAGGAGUCACUUUUGAUGGCAAAUGUGUAAUCACAUCAAUAGUCUUAGUACAAGUUGAAGGUUUUAGUUGGUGACCUCAAUAUACAAAAAUUAAGGUAUUUAUAUGUCAGCUGUUUUUAUGUAAUGGCUAUGUAAAUCUGUGAUGUACAGAUCAUAAACACAUGAGUACAAUGACAUGGAUGGGAGGUGACCCAUGCUUGUGGAUAUGAUUGCUGUUUGUUUGGAGAUGCAGAUUUCUAGCAAACUUUAGGUUUGCAGCCAAUUCACAUGUUGUUCAGUCAUUACAACUAAUAAACUUGCCUUAACAAAGCACAUGUGUUGUUUUUCUGUUUAGCUGCAUGCCACUAGCAAAUCAUAAGAAUAGAUGAGUGUGGGUAAUAUACAAAACUUUCUACCAUCAAACCAUCAUGUCAUGAAAACUUAAAGAAAUUUCUUUGUAAAAGAAUAUUUAUAUGAUGCAGAAUGGCUUGCUUGUGCUUGGUCUGUUUCUAAAAUAUUCAUUACCAUAUUUGCAUGCAUAGAGCUUAAGGAAUAUAUAUUCAAGGUCAUAGUAAAUAUAUUGGAGCCCCUUUUUACAAUGUAAAGAUAUUGACAGCGAUAGAAAGUAGUGUGUAAUUACAGCUGUGCAAGAUGGGGAUUAUAACAUCACAAAGAUAAAAAAAUUUCAUCAGUGUUAUAAAAAAAAUAAUAUAUAAAAUAAUAUGCACUUAUUCAAAAGUGGAAACAUACACUUUCUGAAGUCAAAACUAUUUUGACAUUCUUUUGAUACUUAAAUAUUUUAAAAUUGAGAAGGUAAGAGAAUGAACCUGUAUAAAACUGUCACUCUAAUCAAGUGAUAGAGAGGGAAAGAAUUAGUGUCAGUUGCAAUUGUAUAUAUUACUCAUAUUAAUCUAACCACAUCAAUUUCACUACUACUGAAACAUUUGCUGUUAGAAAAAAGAAAAAAAAAAAAAUAUAUAAAUAUAUAUAUAUAGAUAUAAAUAUAUAAAUAUAUAUAUAUAUAUAUAUAUAUAUAUAUAUAUAUAUAUAUAUAUAUAUAUAUAUAUAUAUACACACACACACACAGGUAACUCGAUUUAUGCGAGUAUUGUGUCCUUGAAGAGGUCGCAUAAAUCAAAAACAAUGUAAAUCAAACAAGAGGUAGGUUUGAAGGUUUCUAUCAAAAAAUAAAUAUUCACUUCAUUCAAAAGAGAGAGAGAGAGAGAGAGAGAGAGAGAGAGAGAGAAUAUCCAUAUCACCGAGAUAUCCACUUAGGCACUCGGUCUCAGCCUCACUUGUGUGAGGAAGAAAUGAGGGACACCAUGAGCGACUGGCUAGUAUUGGUACCGGUACUGAGCAGUCUGGUACCUGCGUACCAUAUAGCUGGUACUGUUAGUACCGGUACUGGUGCCGGUACCUGCCCACCCCUAUUGUUGAGUAGCAUGACAACGUGGGUACUAUAUUGUUGUUCAAGUGGCACACAGGAAGAACUGAGCUCAGCUGUGUGGCCGCGGCGCCGUGUGAGUCCAGUUGUGUGAGACAUCUGGUGGCCACUCCAUAAAAUAUCGUGUAUAAGUGAAAAAACGUGUAAAUUAAACAUUUAUUUGGAUUUUGGAUCCCGCGUUAUUUCAAAAAUGCGUAAACUAAACUUGUGUAAAUUGAGUUACCUGUGUAUAUAUAUAUAUAUAUAUAUAUAUAUAUAUAUAUAUAUAUAUAUAUAUAUAUAUAUAUAUAUAUAUAUAUAUAUAUAUAUAUAUAAUGGCUACCUGGUUUGUUAGGCUAUUUGAAAUAAUUUAUUAUUUUGUUUGUAUGCACAUUGCUAAGUACCCCAUUAACAUUUUUAAGUAUGAAAAUAUGAAUAUCACAUAAUAUGUAUCCUCCUUCAUGUAAUUUAUUUUAUAUGGUCACAGAGCAUCCUCCCCCACAUGUGAAUGGGAUUCAGCUGUGUCUUCAUAAUGUUUUGAUGAUUGUUAUUAAAGACAACAAAAACA